rnacentral:rRNA from 1 species
AUAUUCCAUUACUUCUGUGUAAUGCGAUGAGAGGACGGAGAAGGCUAAAUCAGCCUGGCGUUGGUUGUCCAGGUGAAAGGAUGUAGGCAUGUAUCUUAGGCAAAUCCGGGGUACUCUAUGCUGAGAUCUGAUAGCAAGCUGUACUUGUACAGCGAAGUGGUUGAUGCCAUGCUUCCAGGAAAAGUCUCUAAGCUUCAGUUACACAGGAAUCGUACCCGAAACCGACACAGGUGGUCAGGUCGAGUAGACCAAGGCGCUUGAGAGAACUCUGCUGAAGGAACUAGGCAAAAUGGUACCGUAACUUCGGGAGAAGGUACGCUGUUGUUGGUGAUGGAACUCGCUUCCUGAGCUGACGACAGCCGCAGAAACCAGGCCGCUGCAACUGUUUAUUAAAAACAUAGCACUCUGCAAACACGAAAGUGGACGUAUAGGGUGUGAUGCCUGCCCGGUGCUGGAAGGUUAAUUGAUGGGGUUAGCGUAAGCGAAGCUCUUGAUCGAAGCCCCAGUAAACGGCGGCCGUAACUAUAACGGUCCUAAGGUAGCGAAAUUCCUUGUCGGGUAAGUUCCGACCUGCACGAAUGGCAUAAUGAUGGCGGCGCUGUCUCCAGCAGAGGCUCAGUGAAAUCGAAAUCGCUGUGAAGAUGCAGUGUACCCGCGGCUAGACGGAAAGACCCCGUGAACCUUUACUGCAGCUUGACACUGAACUUUGACCUUACUUGUGUAGGAUAGGUGGGAGGCUUUGAAGCUGGAACGCUAGUUCCAGUGGAGCCGUCCUUGAAAUACCACCCUGGUAAUGUUGAGGUUCUAACUCUGUCCCGUGAUCCGGGACGAGGACCGUGUCUGGUGGGUAGUUUGACUGGGGCGGUCUCCUCCUAAAGAGUAACGGAGGAGUACGAAGGUGCGCUCAGCGUGGUCGGAAAUCACGCGUAGAGUAUAAAGGCAAAAGCGCGCUUAACUGCGAGACCCACAAGUCGAGCAGGUACGAAAGUAGGUCUUAGUGAUCCGGUGGUUCUGUAUGGAAGGGCCAUCGCUCAACGGAUAAAAGGUACUCUGGGGAUAACAGGCUGAUACCGCCCAAGAGUUCAUAUCGACGGCGGUGUUUGGCACCUCGAUGUCGGCUCAUCUCAUCCUGGGGCUGAAGCAGGUCCCAAGGGUAUGGCUGUUCGCCAUUUAAAGAGGUACGCGAGCUGGGUUUAGAACGUCGUGAGACAGUUCGGUCCCUAUCUACCGUGGGCGCUGGAAAUUUGAGAGGAUCUGCUCCUAGUACGAGAGGACCAGAGUGGACGAACCUCUGGUGUACCGGUUGUGACGCCAGUCGCAUCGCCGGGUAGCUAUGUUCGGAAGGGAUAACCGCUGAAAGCAUCUAAGCGGGAAGCCUACCUCAAGAUAAGAUUUCCCUAGGACUUUAUGUCCUCUAAAGAGCCGUUCGAGACUAGGACGUUGAUAGGUUGGAUGUGGAAGCAUAGUGAUAUGUGAAGCUGACCAAUACUAAUUGCUCGUGAGGCUUGACUAU